GGAGGAUGGCUCAGUGGUAGAGCGCUUGCCUUGCAUGUAUGAAGCCCUGGGUUCGAUUCCUCAGCACCA
rnacentral:tRNA from 1 species